rnacentral:lncRNA from 1 species
UGGAUUACUUUUAAAUAUGAAGGAUUCUAUCCAAAUAUUGAAAUGUCUUUUGACUUUACAUUUGAAAAUGUGUAUUCAUGAAGGAAAGAAAAAUGAUAAAUGCUUUCAUUUGACAUAGAAACAAACCUAAUGCUGGCAGCUGCCAUGAGUUUUGUUACUGCAAGUUUGACCUGACAUGAAUUUAAAAAU